UUUGAGAAAAAAACAUUGUUAAUGUUUAAUUGAUUACUAAUCUCUCAAAG
rnacentral:tRNA from 1 species